rnacentral:rRNA from 1 species
CCUACGGGAGGCAGCAGUGAGGAAUAUUGGUCAAUGGGCGGAAGCCUGAACCAGCCAAGUCGCGUGAGGGAUUAAGGCCCUGCGGGCCGUAAACCUCUUUUGCCGGGGAGCAGAGGUCCGGACGUGUCCGGGCCGGGAGAGUACCCGGAGAAAAAGCAUCGGCUAACUCCGUGCCAGCAGCCGCGGUAAUAUGGAGGAUGCGAGCGUUAUCCGGAUUUAUUGGGUUUAAAGGGUGCGUAGGCGGGGAUUUAAGCCGGCGGUCAAAUGUCGGGGGUCAACCCCGGCCUGCCGUCGGAACUGGGUGCCUUGAGUGGGCGAGAGGUGUGCGGAAUGCGUGGUGUAGCGGUGAAAUGCAUAGAUA